UAGCUGCUUUAAUGUUUUCAUUCCAGCUUUGCUUCUAACCCUAAUGUAUGCCCUUGGCUUCCAUGUAUCAUGGUUAAUGACAACUCUUUGUAUAAAUAUUUAACAUAUAAAAAGUUUGAGAUUUUGUAAUGAGAGGGAUAUUUAAGACUGCCGGCUACAUAUGCAUUUAUGUAUGGUACUGAAAAGAAACAGACUGAAAUAAACACAAACAGGUUGUUGAUUUGAUGUUUUGAUUGAUUUAUAUCAAGGUAUGUCAUUGCCAAUCAUUGAAUAAUUAGAAAAAAUUCAUAUUAAAAAGAACUUAAAAUGU
rnacentral:misc_RNA from 1 species